UACGUAUGGUGCAAGCGUUAUCCGGAAUGACUGGGUGUAAAGGGAGCGUAGACGGUUGUUCAAGUCUGAUGUGAAAGCCCUCGGCUUAACUGGGGGAGUGCAUUGGAAACUGAAGGACUAGAGUAUCGGAGAGGCAAGUGGAAUUCCUAGUGUAGCGGUGAAAUGCGUAGAUAUUAGGAGGAACACCAGUGGCGAAGGCGGCUUGCUGGUCGAAAACUGACGUUGAGGCUCGAAAGCGUGGGGAGCAAACAGG
rnacentral:rRNA from 1 species